ACGAACGCUGGCGGCAUGCCUAACACAUGCAAGUCGAACGAGACCUUCGGGUCUAGUGGCGCACGGGUGCGUAACGCGUGGGAACCUGCCCUUAGGUUCGGAAUAACUCCCCGAAAGGGGUGCUAAUACCGGAUAAUGUCUUCGGGCCAAAGAUUUAUCGCCUUUGGAUGGGCCCGCGUUGGAUUAGCUAGUUGGUAGGGUAAAAGCCUACCAAGGCGACGAUCCAUAGCCGGUCUGAGAGGAUGAUCAGCCACACUGGGACUGAGACACGGCCCAGACUCCUACGGGAAGCAGCAGUGGGGAAUAUUGGACAAUGGGCGAAAGCCUGAUCCAGCAAUGCCGCGUGAGUGAUGAAGGCCUUAGGGUUGUAAAGCUCUUUUACCCGGGAUGAUAAUGACAGUACCGGGAGAAUAAGCUCCGGCUAACUCCGUG
rnacentral:rRNA from 1 species